rnacentral:lncRNA from 1 species
AGAGUCACUAAAAUUCUAUUUAAAUGAUCAAUCCAAGCUCGGGUUUCAUGCAUGGAGUGUAAAAGCAAAAGAUUAAAGCAGAUUCCUGAGACUAAACAAAACAAGCGUCUUUAUGGAGAGCAUGGGAAAAGAAUCUUCUCUCUAGGACCAUUAUUUGCUCUUUUCCUCGUUUGGCUUUGGAUAUAUAUACAUCGUGUCUUAUGUUUCCGACCGCAGUGACCAACUUGGUUUGAAAAUACAAGAGACAAGCAAUUCCUC